GACAGAGGGGGCAAGCGUUGCUCGGAAUUACUGGGCGUAAAGGGCGCGUAGGCGGGAUGGCAAGUCGGUCGUGAAAUCCUUCGGCUCAACCGAAGAACGUCGAUCGAUACUGCUGUUCUUGAGGGUUGCAGAGGAGACUGGAAUUCCCGGUGUAGCGGUGAAAUGUGUAGAGAUCGGGAGGAACACCGGUGGCGAAGGCGGGUCUCUGGACAGUUCCUGACGCUGAUGCACGAAGGCCAGGGGAGCAAACGGG
rnacentral:rRNA from 1 species